rnacentral:rRNA from 1 species
GAUCAUGGCUCAGGAUGAACGCUAGCUACAGGCUUGACACAUGCAAGUCGAGGGGAAACGACAUCGAAAGCUUGCUUUUGGUGGGCGUCGACCGGCACACGGGUGAGUAACGCGUAUCCAACCUGCCCACCACUUGGGGAUAACCUUGCGAAAGUAAGACUAAUACCCAAUGAUAUCCCACGAAGGCAUCGGAAUGGGAUUAAAGAUUUAUCGGUGAUGGAUGGGGAUGCGUCUGAUUAGCUUGUUGGCGGGGUAACGGCCCACCAAGGCAACGAUCAGUAGGGGUUCUGAGAGGAAGGUCCCCCACAUUGGAACUGAGACACGGUCCAAACUCCUACGGGAGGCAGCAGUGAGGAAUAUUGGUCAAUGGGCGAGAGCCUGAACCAGCCAAGUAGCGUGCAGGACGACGGCCCUAUGGGUUGUAAACUGCUUUUAUAAGGGAAUAAAGUGGGUCUCGUGAGACUUUUUGCAUGUACCUUAUGAAUAAGGACCGGCUAAUUCCGUG